UACCACUGGAGGAAGCACCGGCUAACUCCGUGCCAGCAGCCGCGGUAAUACGGAGGGUGCAAGCGUUGUUCGGAAUUAUUGGGCGUAAAGGGCGUGUAGGCGGUUUGGUAAGUCAGAUGUGAAAUCCCUGGGCUCAACCCGGGAAGUGCAUUUGAAACUGCCUUUCUUGAGUAUGGGAGAGGAGAGUGGAAUUCCCGGUGUAGAGGUGAAAUUCGUAGAUAUUGGGAGGAACACCCGUGGCGAAGGCGACUCUCUGGACCAAUACUGACGCUGAGGCGCGAAAGCGUGGGGAGCAAACAGGAUUAGAUACCCUGGUAGUCCACGCCGUAAACGAUGANCACUAGGUGUUGNGGGUAUUGACCCCUGCUGUGCCGCAGCUAACGCAUUAAGU
rnacentral:rRNA from 1 species